rnacentral:rRNA from 1 species
UACGUAGGGGGCAAGCGCUGUCCGGAAUCAUUGGGCGUAAAGCGCGUGUAGGCGGUUCGGUAAGUCUGCUGUGAAAGUCCAGGGCUCAACCCUGGGAUGCCGGUGGAUACUGUCGGACUAGAGUACGGAAGAGGCGAGUGGAAUUCCCGGUGUAGCGGUGAAAUGCGUAGAGAUCGGAAGGAACACCAGUGGCGAAGGCGGCUACCUGGACAGAUACUGACACUGAGGCGCGAGAGCGUGGGGAGCAAACAGG